UACGGAGGAUCCAAGCGUUAUCCGGAUUUAUUGGGUUUAAAGGGUGCGUAGGCGGCUUAUUAAGUCAGGGGUGAAAGACGGUGGCUCAACCAUCGCAGUGCCCUUGAUACUGAUGAGCUUGAAUGAACUAGAGGUAGGCGGAAUGUGACAAGUAGCGGUGAAAUGCAUAGAUAUGUCACAGAACACCGAUUGCGAAGGCAGCUUUCUAUGGUUUUUAUUUGACGCUGAGGCACGAAAGCGUGGGGGAUCAAAACAGG
rnacentral:rRNA from 1 species